rnacentral:rRNA from 1 species
CAGUCGCCGCGGUAAUACGGAGGGUGCAAGCGUUAAUCGGAAUUACUGGGCGUAAAGCGCACGCAGGCGGUUUGUUAAGUCAGAUGUGAAAUCCCCGAGCUUAACUUGGGAACUGCAUUUGAAACUGGCAAGCUAGAGUCUUGUAGAGGGGGGUAGAAUUCCAGGUGUAGCGGUGAAAUGCGUAGAGAUCUGGAGGAAUACCGGUGGCGAAGGCGGCCCCCUGGACAAAGACUGACGCUCAGGUGCGAAAGCGCGGGGAGCAAACAGGAUUAGAUACCCCGGUAGUCCCUGUCUCUUAUAC